GUUCACUGCUACAGAUGGGCAAACCGAGGUACAGAGCAAGGAACUGGCUUCCUCAAGAUCCCACAAGGAUCAUCCUGAUUUAGCUGGGGAUAACCUGCGCUUUGGGAGCCCAACUCGUAGGACAUUACAAGCAUCCAGAACUGUAAAACCAUCAUCAUGUUGUAAAGAUGCAUGGGAGGAAGCUGUGAUACUCUGUGAUGUCACUGCAUCCUGAUAUGCCAAUGCAGUGUCAUCACUCUGCAAUGUAACUGUCCUGGUAUCAUGAUGAUGCUGAAGUUUGUCUCAUCAGAAAACUCUGUAACAAAUAAAAUAAAUUAAAAUAGAUAAAUACAUAACUUACCCUGCAAUAGAAUAUUUCAUUGAAGAAUCUCAACUUGCUUUACAAACAUUGAUUAGUUAAACCUCACAACCUGUGGGUUACAUAAGAGAUUCAGAAGCAUCUCUUCACUCAUCUUUGAAAAGCAGCCAUCUUUAGAGCAGAAUGCAGCUUCUGAUCAACACCCCUUAGCAACUAAUUAUUUCCCUUUAACACUGUGAUUGUUAACUUGUUUUGUGGUGCUCUCUGAUACAUUUUUGUGCUCAGAGACUGAUCGGAGAGGAGCAUUUUAUAAAUACCAAAUUAAAUUAAUGAUCAACACCCAAUACAAGAGGCUGAUAAUAGCCAAAAUAUACAAAUGGUGAGCAAAUCCAGAAGAAAAACAUGGCCCUUAGCAAGAAACCCUAAAAUCACAGCACCUGGCAAACAAAGUUUCCAUUAGCCUUCCAUGGGCAAGUAUUUGUCUUUUUAAACAUGGCCAUUAUAAAGAGAAAAAUAACACAAUCCUCAAGCGUGCUCCACACAGUCACAGCCCUAUGCCCCUUUCAACUUCCAAUGGGCUUCAUGUGUUUAAAAGGAUCUGACUGUGCAGUUCCAGCUACAGGAUCAGGCUCUAGAUGUACUACACUCUGAGGUCAGUGACAUUGGGUGAAAUCUGGUCUCCACAGAAGUCAAUGACAAAACUCUUCUUGAUUUCAGUGGGGUCAGAACUUCACCCACUGUAUUUUUUCUGUAAAGAAUUAUGCAUAUUUAUGACACCACGUGACCAAAAAUAUUGUCAUAAAAAAUCCUAAUAAAGAUUUAAAGCCA